AUAGACUACUGUGGGUAUAUCCUUGUGGUUAGUGGAGAAAAGCCAUCAUACUGGAUUUGUCGUAAAAUUGAGAUGAUUUCGUUUCCUUCCUUAUCAGAAAGGGGCUCCACAAUGGUGCGGAGCGGGGCUUCUUUCAAAGGGGGGAGUGAGGGUUGUUCUGAAAGUGGGAGGGAGCCCUCUCAAUUUUACGACAAAUCCGGUCCGAUGGCUCUUCUCCACUAACCACAAGGAUAUAGGGACUCUAU
rnacentral:pre_miRNA from 1 species